rnacentral:lncRNA from 1 species
AUGCCCGGUGCUCUGCUUCUCUCUGCAAGCGGCUCCAACGGCCAGCGCCGGGCCAGGCAGAAGCCAGGAGGCUUGACCUCCAUUCAGGGCGCCCAGGAGGCCGGGAGGCGUGGUCCCUGGGUCACAGGCUGGAGAGGCCGCCCCGCCUGCAGCCCUGGGGCUUCGGAGGCUGGACGCGGCAGGCAGCGCGGAGGUGCGUCCCGCGGCGCCACGGCGGCCGCCCAUGGGGAGUGCGCCUGCGCCCGGCGCUGUGACCCGGAAGUGGCCCCUUGUGCCCCGGAAGUGGCCCCUUGUGGCCCGCGGCGCUCAGGUAGGAGUCCUCGCGGGUCCCGUCCGCUGCUGCCGGAGAGCCCGCGCGAGCCGUCGGGAGCCGUCCUGGACGCUGCCGGCGGAGCCUGCGGGAGACCCAGCGCCCCCGGGGUCAGGCCGGGCUCAGAGAGGCUGCGGCCCGAGGCUGCCGCGCCGUUUCCCGGGCGCGGUUCUCUUCUUCGGCCCCUCGUGGAAGCAGCGGCCUUCGCGGGCCUCUGUGCCGCCAGCAGACCGGGCCCCCUUGGCGGUACAUCUCCUGCUCAGCCAUCCUCAGAUGGAAGUCUGCUCCUCAUCUGUUCCUGCCCAAAAGCCUGUUCAAGUCUUGAGGAGCCGUCCUCGAUGCUGCUGGCGGAGCCUGAGUGAGACCCAGUGCCUCCGGGGUCAGGCCUGAAUCAGAGACACUGCAGCCCGGGACAGCCGCAUCAGUUACCUUGCCCUUCUGGAAAUGUGUAGGCGCGGUCCUCUUCUUGGGCAGUCUGGAAGUCUACCCCUCGGGCCUCGGCUCCUGUUCCAGAGGAGCAGAAACGCUCUUUG